rnacentral:rRNA from 1 species
CCUACGGGGGGCUGCAGUGGGGAAUAUUGGACAAUGGGCGCAAGCCUGAUCCAGCAAUGCCGCGUGUGUGAAGAAGGCCUGCGGGUUGUAAAGCACUUUAAGCAGGAAAGAAGGCUUCGGAGCUAAUAUCUUCGAAGAUUGACGUUACCUGCAGAAUAAGCACCGGCUAACUCCGUGCCAGCAGCCGCGGUAAUACGGAGGGUGCGAGCGUUAAUCGGAAUUACUGGGCGGAUAUCCUAAGUAGGCGGUUAAAGCCCUGGGCUUAACCUGGGAACUGCAGUGGAUACUGGCAGGCUAGAGUAUGGUAGAGGAGAGUGGAAUUUCCGGUGUAGCAGUGAAAUGCGUAGAGAUCGGAAGGAACACCAGUGGCGAAGGCGGCUCUCUGGACCAAUACUGACGCUGAGGUGCGAAAGCGUGGGGAGCAAACAGGAUUAGAUACCCGGGUAGUC